rnacentral:rRNA from 1 species
ACGCUGGCGGCGUGCCUAAUACAUGCAAGUUGAACGCAACAAAGACACCAGAGCUUGCUCUACCGUUUUUGUUGAGUAGGCGAACGGGUGAGUUAACGCGUGGGUAACCUGCCUUAUAGCGGGGGAUAACUAUUGGAAACGAUAGCUAAUACCGCAUAACAAUAGAGAUUGCAUAAUCUUUAUUUGAAAGUGCCAACUGGUACACUAUGAGAUGGACCCGCGUUGUAUUAGCUAGUUGGUAGUGUAAUGGACUACCAAGGCGAUGAUACAUAGCUGACCUGAGAGGGUGAUCGGCCACAUUGGGACUGAGACACGGCCCAAAUUCCUACGGGAGGCAGCAGUAGGGAAUCUUCGGCAAUGGACGAAAGUCUGACCGAGCAACGCCGCGUGAGUGAAGAAGGUUUUCGGAUCGUAAAACUCUGUUGUUAGAGAAGAAUGUUGAUUAGAGUGGAAAAUUAAUCAAGUGACGGUAUCUAACCAGAAAGGGACGGCUAACUACGUG